GAUGAACGCUAGCGGCAGGCUUAACACAUGCAAGUCGUGGGGCAGCAGGGGUAGCAAUACCCGCUGGCGACCGGCAAACGGGUGCGGAACACGUACGCAAUCUACCUUUAUCUGGAGAAUAGCUCGGAGAAAUCCGGAUUAAUACUUCGUAAUAUAUUUGGAAGGCAUCUUUUGAAUAUUAAAGCUCAGGCGGAUAGAGAUGAGCGUGCGUCCCAUUAGCUAGUUGGCAGGGUAACGGCCUACCAAGGCAACGAUGGGUAGCUGGUGUGA
rnacentral:rRNA from 1 species